AAAAUUUUAUAGCAGUUUGGUUUUAAAUUUGACAGUUCUGUUUUGUCAAGUCAAAAAUCUUAACCUUACUUUUACAAGUGAUUAGGAUUAUUAUUUUAUUUACAUAUAAAUUGAAACAAUAAAUAUUGUGCUGUGUCAUAAUUUAAAACUCAUUAUGUUGCAGUCUUUUCCAGUUGAUAAAAUUGCAAUUCAAAAACUUUUAGAUUUGCACUAGAUUGGCACAGAAAGAGAACAGUACAAGAACAUGAAACAUCUUAUUAUGAAUGUAUAUGUAAGUGAUCCUCAAAAAAUUAUUUUACAAAACAAGAUAGAGAAAGAGCUUUAAAAUCCCAAGGAUCCUGCAAAAUGUUUAUUUGGUGUACUAGUCGAAUAAUAGUAUCUAAAAAUAUUGAAACUAUUUUAAAACAUAUUACGGACACGAGGAUGAUAUAGAGCACUUACAUAAAUACCAAAAUCAGAUAAAUAUCUCUUCAAAGUUUAUUUUGAGAUUUUCUUCAAAAAUGUAAGUAAAAUAUUUGCAUAUCGACGGCGGAAAGGUAGGACUUCGUAACUGAAAAAAUUUUAUAACAUGAGUUAAUUCAGUUUUCGCUUUAGAAUAAGUGUAUCGGCAGCUAUUAAACAGCGAUUACAGCUGGGAAAGUUUCCGGAAGGCUUCUAGAAGGCUUUCCCAGCUCUAAAAGCUGUUUAAUAGGUGCUGAUGCACUUAUUAUAAAUCGAAAACCGAAGUAACUCAUUUUAUACAAAUUUUUCAGUUAUGAGGUCCUGCCUUUCCGCCGUCGAUAUACACAAUAUAAUUUAAAACAAGAAUGUUACCACUAAACCACUUUUUUAAAUAUUACUCAUGAAUAUUUACUACAUUUUACAAUUUCAAACUAGUGUGUUUGAUUCUCCUAUACCUAUAUUUUACUUUUUUAGUAAACUUCAGACUGUUCAGGAUAGCAUAAUAGCAUAGGAGGCGAAUUAAAAAUAAUUAAUUUACUUACAAGUAAAGAUAUCACAAACAUUAAACUAUCUUAUGGCAUUAAUUUGAAAGAUGGGUAUAUGUACAAUGAUGAUGCAACCAGUGUUUAUUUUUGGGUUGAAUGCUUACAGACUCAUGUCCAAUAUUAUUUUACAAACAACAGGGCAUACUAAUGGAUAUUCAUUCUGAAUUUAAUAUUUAUGAUUUUUGUCUUAUUUUCCUUAAUACUGUGCAAAAAUGAAAUGUUAAUUAAGUGUGGUAAAUCCUUUAUCGCAAUCGAUGGAACUCAUAGGCUCAAUUCCUAUGACUUUGAACUUAUGACAGUAUUAGUAAAAGAUGAAUUUGGGAAUGGAUUUUGUACUGCUUUCUUAUUUUCAAAUAGAAAAAAUACCUACUUUAAUUUACCGAUUUUUUAAAUACAUGUCUGUGUUGGUAUUAUAUGUAUAGUCAAAUGUUUUCAUAUCAGGCAUAAGCGACACCUUUUACAAUGCCUCGUCAAAUGUAAUGGGUAUUGCUCCUAAUAGACUGUUAAGUGCCUGGCACAUAGAUAGGGCAUGGUAAGUAAAUCUUAAUAAAAUAUCUGAUUCUGAAAAAAAUCCUAUUAUGUAUACAAGAUGUAUUAAUGAUGGUUUAGAGAGUAUUAAUAGCUUUUUGGGUAGACUUCUAAGUGAUGCAGAUACAUACAAUUUUAGUAAGUAUUUCCAGUAGAACUAGUGCAAUAACAUCCAACAAUGGGCCUAUUGUUAUAGGAAGGGGUUGUGGAAUUAAUACCAAUAUGACCAUUCAAAAUUGUCAUAAAAUUUUGGAUAAAAGGGUAUCCAUUAGUUGUUAUCAGUUAAGUUUGAAACUUCGCACUUAUGGAGAGCUAUACCAUAAUAUAUAAUAUGUAUAUCUCAUAAUAUUACAUCUCAUAUUGCUCACUCAUUACAAUAGUGAGCAAUAUGAGAUAUAACAUAUUAUAGUAUAAGUCUCUGUGCAUGACCAGAUUAACAUGUUUGGUGCCCAUCUCGAACAAGCUCCACUUGGCUGGUACCACAUACUUAAAUCAUUUAUUUAGUUACACAGUACUACUCACAUAACUUAUGUGUCGUCAGUACCUUCCGUAAAACCUUCGUGAUGCUACCCAUAUGUCAUGGCCACUGAAUGUGUUAAAGCUUGUUAAUGUAGGAGAGUUAUACUAAAAUAUAUAUCUUAUAUUAUAUUGCCUUAAAUAGAAAAAAUAUCUUAUUUAAAUUGUAUCCAUGUAAGUUUUGAUUUAAUGAAAUAAACCUUUUAAUCAAAAAAGUGUUGUUUACUUGUGUACACCCAGCAAUAUCCUGAUCAUAGAUAAAUAAUAUAGUAUUACCGGAUCCUGAUAUGCAGACGCCAAUAGGGCUUUUCAUCGAUUGUCAUUUGUUUCGAGCUUCUGUCAUGAGUCACAUAAUAUUAAUGUAUCUACGUCAUACGUCUUUGGUUUGUAUCAUUGGUAUAUAGCAUAUACCAAUAACGUAUGACGUAAAUAUAUUAAUAUUAUGAGACACAUGACAGAAGCUCGAAACAAAUGACUGUGAAUGAAAUGCCCUAUUGAAUAGGGCUUUUCAUCCAUUGUCAUUUGUUUCGAGCUUCGUUCAAGUGUCACAUAAUAUUAAUAUAUCUACGUCAUACGUCUUUGGUUUGUAUCAUUGGCAAUAUCAAUAACAUAUGACAUAGAUAUAUUAAUAUUAGACGACACAUGACAGAAGCUCGAAAUAAAUGACUAAGUGAAAAGCCCUAUAUCAUGUAAAUACAAGUCAUAAAGAUGUCCUUCUACGGUUAAAAUUUCACAGCCUAAAGACAUCAUUUAUGUAACUUCUUAAGCCGUCACAAAAUGACUGCAAUAAGAAAAUAGAAUUUAUUAACUCGCCUCGCCCCCAGGCAAAGUAAAGGUGCUAGGCCACUAAGAAUGUUUUUUUCAAUUUUUUUAUUUUGUGGCUUUAGCGCUUAGCUAUUUAGCCAGAUACAUGAUGAGAAUUAAUACUAUUAUAAUGCAUAUUAAAACUAAUUCAAAUUACUAGUAAUUUUAUUAAUAUUCUGAAUAAUUAUGUAACCACUUAAUACUACAAUAAAAAAGUGUCCAUCUAUACUAUCCCAACACAUUUUAACCUUUGAAAUCGUAAAUUUCCAUUCCCAUUAAAAAAAUAAUUUGUACUGUAUAAGUAUAUUUCUUUUGAGCUUCAUUUUUUUUUCAAAAUACUGCAACAUGAGUUUUAAAUUAUGACACAGUACAAUACUUGUUUCAAUAUUUACAUGUAAAUAAAAUAAUCCUAAUUACUUGUAAAAGUAAGGUUAUAAAUUUAAGAAUACAGAACUCUCUUAAAACCAAAGUGGCAUUAGACUAAUUUUAAAAUUCCCGCUAAAAGGAAAAAGGUAAAUCUGGCAACAGUGCCGUCGUUUGCUGGACAUUUAAUCAAGAUUUAAUCUCUCCCCAACCCAUUCCGCUGUGUUGCCAAAUUUUUAAUCAGUAUCGAAACGCGGCAGAUUUAAAAACAUGUCAAAAUAUGUUGUUUUACUUUACACGUUCUAAAAGUGAAUCAAAUCUAUUUUUUCUAAUUUAAUAAUUGCUUGUAUAAAAAAUACCUAGAUGGUACGUAAAAAAUAUAUAUUUCGUUUGUUAUCCGGUAGAUAAGCUUUAAAAGUAAGUUUGGAUUAUGAACACACCUGAUUUUUGUGUUUAUUUUUAUAAUUUCAGCUUUGCUUUAACCUAACCUAACAUAAUCAGAUUCAAAGAUGAUUUUAUCGUUUUUAUUUCCAUUUUGGAAGAAGGAAUGAAGGAAAUGUAAGUAAAUCAAAGAAUUACAACUUAAAAAAAUAAGUAUACAAAGUCAUAAGGUUUAGAAAUACAUUUCCAUAUUUUAAUCAGACAACAAUAUUGUUUUAAAAGAAAACAUUGAUUAUGCUGAAAAAUUGGACAACAUCAAGUUUAGGGCAACCAAACAUAACCAAUUUGUAGUUGACAUUUGAGGUAAUCUAAAAACACUGACAGUGUUGCCAUGUUGUAAAAUAUUUCUUACUGUAACAUCUAAAAUUCAAAAUUGAAUAGAACACAAUAUAUAAUUUAAAAAUCGAAAACAAAUGUAAAGUGCACUUUACAUCAACAAUAAAUUGAACAAGAAAUUGACAAAGUUAUUCAAGGUCAAAUUUGACUUAUACAAAACACCCAAUUUUGCCGUGAAUAAAAAGAAAAUAAAGAAAUUUGACAAAAUAAAACAUAUCCAAUUGUUCUAUUUCAUCAAAUUCCUUUAUUUUCUUUUACAAACCAUACAUUUUGUACACGUUAAAUUUGGCCUUGAAUAACUUUGUCAAUUUCUUGUUCAAUUUAUUGUUGAUGUAAAGUGGACAUUAGAUAUAAAUCAGAAAAUAUAUUAAAAGCAUUAAAAUUAUAUAAAAAUCAAUAGUGGCAAUAGUUAAUAGAAACACUAAACAAUGUGAAGAUUUCUAAACUGUAACUAAUAAAAUAUCUAAAAUACUAAAUAGUAAUAAAAAGAAACUAACUUAAACUGUAGACUGUAAACUCUAACUAAUAAAAUAUCUAAAAUACUAAAUAGUAAUAAAAAGAAACUAACUUAAAUGAAUUAACUAACCUAUGAAAUAAACAUCUAAAUUAUAAAAAAAAACAUUUUAAACAAGGUCAUAGCCACCUUUACUUAACAAGCCAUGAAGAGAAAAAGGCAACAUCGCAAUUGAUGACGUGCGUAGUCCGACUUUCGGACUACCGCUUUUGAAAACACAAUUUUAAAGUAGAAAUUCUGGUAAAAUUUAUAGUAUUUUUUGAGGCGAACAAGAAAAUAUUAUUAAUUAGAAGUUUGUACAAAAUAAAAUUAAAAGUACUUCCUUGUAAGUAACGUUUAUUAUACAAAAAAAAAACCAAUAACAAGAAUAUACAUGGGAUUAAUUUUUUUCGAAUCCUAAGAAAACUAAUGAGUAUUUUUCAAAAAUUUAAACGUAGAAUGAAAGAUUAUGUUAGGACCGAGGGCCUAAAGUCCCUGAAAACUUCUAUGUUUAUUUUAAUAAUUUACAGGGGCGAAAAAUUAAGAAAAUUUAGUGUCAUUUUUAGUUUCAAAUAUGUCAUUCAAAAACAACUUUUCAUUCAUUCUAAGGGACCUUCGGCCCUCGGUAAUAAAGUAAUCUUUCAUUCAGCGUUUAAAUUUUUCAAAAAUACUUAUUAGUUUUCUCAGAAUUCGAAAAAAAUGAUUGCAUUUAAAAUACACUGAAAAUUUUGACAGGCGUCAAAAUUUUGCAUUUUGUUCCUUUCCCUUUAAAGUUUUUCGCACUUAUUUAGAAACACCCUGAAUUGAUAAAGAACAAAAAUCUAGUUGUUAAAGUAGCUAACUUUUUUUAUUAUCCAACAGAAACGAAAUAAUAAAAAAAACAGAAUGUUAUUAAGAAAACCAGAGUCUAUAGUUGGGUUUUAAUAUAUUAUUAUUAUUAUACAAAAAAAAAACCAAUAACAAGAAUAUGUGUAAAAUACUUUACUUUAAGUAAAUAAUAUCUUAUUUUAAAUUAUAUACAAAUAUCGCUAGAAAUAACUAUAACAACAAUUUCUCACAUGGUUUGAUGUGAAGUGUUGGGGUUUAGAAUUAACUGCUUAGCAACAAUAUUAUUACAGCGUAUUGUUAAAGAAUCAGGCAUAUUAAAAAAAUCACUUGAAUCGGCCAACAGGUUUAGUAAGUAUAAGACAUCAAAAAUGACAAAAAUUUUAAGUGGACGCAUUUCUAUAUGCACGUAAGUUUAUAUAAAAAUAUAUUAUACUAUAAAAUAUAGUAUAUAAAAAUAUAUUAUAUUGAACUAAAAUCAUCUUAAUACAUACCUUUUAAUAGUCUUUAUAAUUUGGAGCACGAAAUAUUGUAAAAUGUUUGAGUUUUUCUGUAAAUACAGUGAAUAUUAUUUAAAAACAUUUAAAAAUAAAUGAGAACUGUCAGAAUUAACCGGUCUACGCUUAGAUGUUGCCAAGUUUCAACUUCAUGGCUUGUAAAGUAAAGGUGGCUAUGACAAGGUCUAAAUUCAUAUGUCUAAAUCAGGUCUAAAUUAUAAACAGAUAUGGCAACGGCAACACUGUUCACAAAAUUCAUGCUGUUGCAUGGCCGUUGCCCUAAACUUUAUGUUGUCCGAAAAAUUUACUGGAGAGCUUGAACAAGAGCAAGAGGUAAAUCCAUUUUAAGUUAGUGGAAAACUGUUGAUUUGUAUGUAAAAUAGAAGACAAAGACAAGUUUAAAUAAAGACAAGCUAGCUAAUGAAACAGAUGCAGUGGUAAUUUUGUUUACAUAAUAAUUAUAUGUAGAUAUUAUAUGAUUAUUAAUAUUAACUGUUCAAUGAUGUAAAAAUUUGUUAAUGUGGGGAAAACUUUUAUUUAAAUUCAAUACUAUAUUUCUGUAGUGGUAUGGCAAAACUUGAUGUUGUGUCUGAUUUUAGCCAGAAUGAGAUUAUUUGCUUGAUAUGCUAUUUAGUAACAUUUCUUCAAGUUGGUAGAGUUUGGUAUGUGUAUGAUGAAGGUAAAAUCCCCCUUUGUCUCACAUAUCUUUUUGUCCCCUUUUAACUUACAGUAGAACAUUAUUACUAUUACAUACCCAAGUUGCAUUUUUGAGGUUUUAUCAAAAUAGCGUCAUCGUAAAUCACUUGACAGAAACUCUAUAUGACGAAAGAGAGACUCAUAAUGAAAGAUUUAUUUUUUUCUGUUAUCUUUUUAUGGUAGGUACAUAUCUAUGUAUGUGUAUAUGUACCUACAUAUGUAUUAUACAUAAGAUAUACAUGUUCGGAUUAUCCCUGCUUUUCAAUACACCUUCGGUCCCGAGGAGGACGGAUAAUCAGGGCUCUACUGUAUUAGGUAGUGCAGAACUUGAUAUAUUACUUGAUUUCUUAUGUUGAUUACUUUUCGUUUUUGAGUUGGAAAAACAUGAUUCAAACUUUCCAAAUUCUCUCCUGAAAAAUUAGGCUAGAUGGACAUAUCAAUCAUUGUCAAAACUCUCCAGAUUUAUAAUCCAUCCAACUGGUAUAUUGAAUAGUAAACUAGGGCUAAAAACCAACUAUGUAUAUCAAAACACAAUAUUUUUAAAGAUUGGAUAAUUUACAUGAUAAAUUGAAGAAUCUCAUUAACAGGAAUAAAACCUAAUUUUAAUAUUUGGGUGCCUCAGAAGUCAAAUGGUGUAAGUCACGUUCUCCCUAAAAAUGACUUAUGGGAUAUAACACUUAUUAUUAUAUAUAGAAAUAUUAUUAUUUCCUUGUUUGUAUUUAUGAAUAUGUUACCCAUGUUAUGAUAAAUAAAGACAGUUUACAGUCGGAGAAAUUAAAGAAUACCCAUGAACGAUCACAUCAAUCACAUAUUAUUCAGAUUACUAAUAAUCUAUCUCUCUCGUUUGUUAUUUAUGAAAAAAAAAACAGCAAAUACAAAAUAUGUGAUUGACUGAUUGAUGUGAUUGUUCAUGGGUAUUCUUUCAUUUUUCCGACUGUAUUUAUCAGCAACUAUUGUCAGAAACAUCUUAGUAUCUCAUUUUAAGCACUUAUUGACUUACACCGAUUGGCUUCUGAGGCAUUGAUUUGUUAAUAGAUACCUUUCACUUUUCUAAAUAAAAAAAUUAGUUACAGAUAUGACAAACAUCUAGCUAGAAGAUGGAAUCUUGCGUUCUUAAAAGAAAAAAAGCUAGUUCCAGAAGUAAGCUACCAAUAAUAAACUAGAGAAUGUAUUACAAGAAAGAACAACGCUAAUACUCAACAUAGCUCAAUUGCUUCAGAUAGAAAAAGAGGAGGAAAGGGUACAACACAAGCCUGCCAGAGAAAAUGGAAGGGCAGAAAAAAGACACAAAAUUCAUUGAUUUAUUAAAUUUAAAAAUUAAAUUAUACAAAGGACAAUUAAAUAAAAAAUUAAAAAUGA